rnacentral:ncRNA from 18 species
AUAUCAUCAAGAGGAACUGAGAGACAGGCUCUGUGACGUUCCAGCAACCUACGUAAAUCGUGUGGUGCUAAUUCCUGAAAGAUGAAAA